rnacentral:lncRNA from 1 species
UCCACCUCCAGCGGCUGUUGGCGCCGUUGCCAGAUCGGGACAGCUCACACUAGCAUUACAAGAAGAUCAACGCCAUUACCAGUAUGCCUGGCAUUACCUGCCGGCUGCCGCCGUGCUUCGGAGUGGAUGGUUCGCCGCGCCCGGCAGCGCGUUGGUGAGGGUGUGAGGCUGGAUAAUGGAUUGGCUGAUAGGGACUGGUACUUACCGUCCACCAUUCACGCUGUCGGCACCAUCUCCUCCGGCGUUGUCGACGUCGGCCUUGAGCCCACCCUACGAGAGCCGCUUCAUCUCUCUGCUUAGAGAACGCGAU